rnacentral:rRNA from 1 species
CUUAAUUUAGCCAUUAUCAGCCAACUGCGAAUGACUCAUUAUAUAAGUUAUCGUUUAUUUGAUAGUACCUUACUACUUGGAUAACCGUGGUAAUUCUAGAGCUAAUACAUGCUAAAAAUCCCGACUUCGGAAGGGAUGUAUUUAUUACAUUAAAAACCAAUGCCCUCUGGGCUCCUUGGUGAUUCAUAAUAACUUUUCGAAUCGCAUGGCCUUGCGCCGGCGAUGGUUCAUUCAAAUUUCUUCCCUAUCAACUUUCGAUGUUUGGGUAUUGGCCAAACAUGGUCGCAACGGGUAACGGAGGGUUAGGGCUCGACCCCGGAGAAGGAGCCUGAGAAACGGCUACUACAUCCAAGGAAGGCAGCAGGCGCGCAAAUUACCCAAUCCCGAUUCGGGGAGGUAGUGACAAUAAAUACUGAUACCAGGGCUCUUUUGGGUCUUGUAAUUGGAAUGAGUACAAUUUAAAUCUCUUAACGAGGAACAAUUGGAGGGCAAGUCUGGUGCCAGCAGCCGCGGUAAUUCCAGCUCCAAUAGCGUAUAUUAAAGUUGUUGUGGGUUAAAAGCUCGUAGUUGAACCUUGGGGCCUGGGCUGGGCCGGUCCGCCUCACCGCGUGUACUAGGUCCGGCCGGGCCUUUCCCUCUGUGGAACCUCAUGCCCUUCACUGGGUGUGGCGGGGAAACAGGACUUUUACUUUGAAAAAAUUAGAGUGCUCCAGGCAGGCCUAUGCUCGAAUACAUUAGCAUGGAAUAAUAAAAUAGGACGUGUGGUUCUAUUUUGUUGGUUUCUAGGACCGCCGUAAUGAUUAAUAGGGACAGUCGGGGGCAUCAGUAUUCAAUUGUCAGAGGUGAAAUUCUUGGAUUUAUUGAAGACUAACUACUGCGAAAGCAUUUGCCAAGGAUGUUUUCAUUAAUCAGGAACGAAAGUUAGGGGAUCGAAGACGAUCAGAUACCGUCGUAGUCUUAACCAUAAACUAUGCCGACUAGGGAUCGGACGAUGUUAUUUUUUGACGCGUUCGGCACCUUACGAGAAAUCAAAGUGCUU